UAUUCCUGUACUAUGUGUACCCAGAACUGUGGGGACGCAUGUGGAGAGCAUGAGCCGGGAAAGAAAAGACCGGUACAAGCGGGGUAGGAGUAAGGACAGCAAAUCUUCCUUACAAUCCGAAGACGUGAUGUGGACCGAACCAAAGUAGGGAAGCAUGUGAGCCAUGUGCCAAGAAAAGCUGCUAUUGUGAUACACAUACCCGUACCGUAAACCGACACAGGUGGAUGAGGAGAGAAUCCUAAGGCCGACGGAAGAAGCAUUGUUAAGGAACUCGGCAAAAUGACCCCGUAACUUCGGGAGAAGGGGUGCCCUGUGAAAGCAGGGCCGCAGAGAAUAGGCUCAAGCAACUGUUUAGCAAAAACACAGGUCUAUGCGAAACCGAAAGGUGAGGUAUACGGGCUGACGCCUGCCCGGUGCUGGAAGGUUAAGAGGAGAAGUCAGGCAACGAAGCUUCGAAUUUAAGCCCCAGUAAACGGCGGCCGUAACGAUAACGGUCCUAAGGUAGCGAAAUUCCUUGUCGGGUAAGUUCCGACCCGCACGAAAGGCGUAAUGAUUUGAGCACUGUCUCGACAAUGCAUCCGGUGAAAUUGAAGUACCAGUGAAGAUGCUGGUUACCUGCGCCAGGACGGAAAGACCCCAUGGAGCUUUACUCCAGCUUGAUACUGGGAUUCGAUACUGUAUGUACAGGAUAGGUGGGAGACGUUGAGCAUAGAACGCCAGUUUUAUGUGAGUCGCUGUUGGGAUACCACCCUUGCAGUAUUGGAUUUCUAACCUGCACCCAUGACCUGGGUGGGGGACAAUGUCUGGCGGGGAGUUUGACUGGGGCGGUCGCCUCCGAAAGGGUAUCGGAGGCGCUCAAAGGUUCCCUCAGAAUGGUUGGAAACCAUUCGAAGAGUGCAAAGGCAGAAGGGAGCUUGACUGUGACACCGACGGGUGGAACAGGUACGAAAGUAGGACUUAGUGAUCCGGUGGUAUAAAGUGGGAUUGCCAUCGCUCAACGGAUAAAAGCUACCCUGGGAUAACAGGCUUAUCACUCCCAAGAGUUCACAUCGACGGAGUGGUUUGGCACCUCGAUGUCGGCUCAUCGCAUCCUGGGGCUGUAGCAGGUCCCAAGGGUUGGGCUGUUCGCCCAUUAAAGCGGUACGCGAGCUGGGUUCAGAACGUCGUGAGACAGUUCGGUCCCUAUCCGGCGCAGGCGGAGGAUAUUUGAGAGGAGCUGUCCUUAGUACGAGAGGACCGGGAUGGACGGACCACUGGUGUAUCUGUUGGCUAUCGGAGCCAUGGCAGAGUAGCCAAGUCCGGCAGGGAUAAACGCUGAAGGCAUCUAAGCGUGAAGCCCCCCUCAAGAUGAGAUAUCCCUCAGAAAUGAGUAAGACCCCUUGAAGACUACGAGGUAGAUAGGAAUGAGGUGUAAGCACAGCAAUGUAUUCAGCUGACAUUUACUAAUCGGUCGAGGGCUUGAAC
rnacentral:rRNA from 1 species